AAUGGCGUGGGGGGAGGGCGUGGCGGGAAUGCUGCCAACCAAGGGGGGGGAAAGAGGCCAAAAGAAGAGGUUAAACCAAGUUGUUCCACUCCUGAUGAUGGGACCUUUGUUGAAUCCUGUGAGCACGUGAUCCUGCCAUCUUUACCUGAAGUGUUGAGUAUGUGAUCCUGCCAUCUUUAUCUCUAAGUGUUAAAGCUAACAGUUUUAAAUGUGUAUCUAUGGACUUUGUGAUGGAAUGCAUGUUUUGUUAAUGUGACAUGUUUUGCUAUUAAAGUGUAAAAAGUU